rnacentral:rRNA from 1 species
CCUACGGGAGGCAGCAGUGAGGAAUAUUGCACAAUGGGGGAAACCCUGAUCCAGCCAUGCCGCGUGAGCGAAGAAGGAUUUCGGUAUGUAAAGCUCUAUCUGACGGGAAGAAAAUGACGGUACCUGCGUAAGAAGCACCGGCUAAAUACGUGCCAGCAGCCGCGGUAAUACGGAGGGUGCAAGCGUUAUCCGGAAUUACUGGGCGUAAAGGGAGUGUAGGCGGAUUUGCAAGUUCGAGGUGAAAUACCGGGGCUCAACCCCGGAACUGCCAUUAUGACUAUGUAGCUAGAGUGUAGGAGAGGCAGGCGGAAUUCCUGGUGUAGAGGUGAAAUUCGUAGAUAUUAGGUAGAACACCGGUGGCGAAGGCGGCCUGCUGGACGAUGACUGACGCUGAGGCUCGAAAGCGUGGGGAGCAAACAGGAUUAGAUACCCGGGUAGUC